AUUGAACGCUGGCGGAAUGCUUUACACAUGCAAGUCGAACGGCAGCACGGGGGCAACCCUGGUGGCGAGUGGCGAACGGGUGAGUAAUACAUCGGAACGUGCCCAGUCGUGGGGGAUAACGUAGCGAAAGUUACGCUAAUACCGCAUACGAUCCACGGAUGAAAGCGGGGGACCGUAAGGCCUCGCGCGAUUGGAGCGGCCGAUGUCAGAUUAGGUAGUUGGUGAGGUAAAGGCUCACCAAGCCGACGAGCUGUAGCUGGUCUGAGAGGACGACCAGCCACACUGGGACUGAGACACGGCCCAGACUCCUACGGGAGGCAGCAGUGGGGAAUUUUGGACAAUGGGCGCAAGCCUGAUCCAGCCAUUCCGCGUGCAGGACGAAGGCCUUCGGGUUGUAAACUGCUUUUGUACGGAACGAAAAGGCUCUGGUUAAUACCUGGGGCUCAUGACGGUACCGUAAGAAUAAGCACCGGCUAACUACGUGCCAGCAGCCGCCGUAA
rnacentral:rRNA from 1 species